UCCGUAGGUGAACCUGCGGAGGGAUCAUUACCGAGUUUACAACUCCCAAACCCCUGUGAACAUACCUAUACGUUGCCUCGGCGGAUCAGCCCGCGCCCCGUAAAAAGGGACGGCCCGCCCGAGGACCCCUAAACUCUGUUUUUAGUGGAACUUCUGAGUAAAACAAACAAAUAAAUCAAAACUUUCAACAACGGAUCUCUUGGUUCUGGCAUCGAUGAAGAACGCAGCAAAAUGCGAUAAGUAAUGUGAAUUGCAGAAUUCAGUGAAUCAUCGAAUCUUUGAACGCACAUUGCGCCCGCCAGUAUUCUGGCGGGCAUGCCUGUUCGAGCGUCAUUUCAACCCUCAAGCUCAGCUUGGUGUUGGGACUCGCGGUAACCCGCGUUCCCCAAAUCGAUUGGCGGUCACGUCGAGCUUCCAUAGCGUAGUAAUCAUACACCUCGUUACUGGUAAUCGUCGCGGCCACGCCGUAAAACCCCAACUUCUGAAUGUUGACCUCGGAUCAGGUAGGAAUACCCGCUGAACUUAAGCAUAUCAAUA
rnacentral:rRNA from 1 species